CGUCACCCGCUAUCUAGGAGCAGUGCAGUAGCACGAGCGCCGGAUUAAGCUUUAAUAUCGCUUCAAAUUCCCCUUUCUCGGGUCUAAAACCUGAUGAAUGUGUCCCGCGGUGCGUGUGUCCGUGAGUAUGAUGCGAGCCUCACUCAUUCAUUCGCCAGUGUAUCUAAACGAGUAACCGUGCUUUCCUCUAAACCGCGUGGCGUCCAGAGCUUCUCCGUGCACGAGGACACCUCCAGCCUCGUGCUGCACACGUUCUGUCUGUUCGCUGGGUGAGGGUUCGACUCCACUCAGUGACAACACACUGUUGUAUCUGAAGUCAUUCAUCCAGCGCUGUGUGUAGGUGGGGCGCCCAGAUGACACCCACUGUCUGCGCUGGGUGCGUCUGAGCGCGCGGCGCAUCCUUGGAACUUUGGCUUGGAGACUCCACGAGCCUCUUUUUCUUCUCCUCGUCCUUGAUUCUUUUUCUUUCCAUCCUUCCCAGCUGCUGUGGGUAUUGGACCUGCUUCAACGAGCAGAUCUAACGUUGUUUUAGACUGUUCUCGUUGAUUUUUAUUCUGUGUGUGAAAGAGCGAAUGUAAAAAUCUUUCUUGAAUUAAAUGGUUGUUUUUUUUUAAAUUUGCCUUAAACCAGUAAGUACCAAAUAAAAUUGUAUAUUUUCCCA